GAUGAACGCUGGCGGCGUGCCUAAUACAUGCAAGUCGAGCGAACAGACGAGGAGCUUGCUCCUUUGACGUUAGCGGCGGACGGGUGAGUAACACGUGGAUAACCUACCUAUAAGACUGGGAUAACUUCGGGAAACCGGAGCUAAUACCGGAUAACAUGUUGAACCGCAUGGUUCAACAGUGAAAGACGGUCUUGCUGUCACUUAUAGAUGGAUCCGCGCCGCAUUAGCUAGUUGGUAAGGUAACGGCUUACCAAGGCAACGAUGCGUAGCCGACCUGAGAGGGUGAACGGCCACACUGGAACUGAGACACGGUCCAGACUCCUACGGGAGGCAGCAGUAGGGAAUCUUCCGCAAUGGGCGAAAGCCUGACGGAGCAACGCCGCGUGAGUGAAGAAGGUCUUCGGAUCGUAAAACUCUGUUAUUAGGGAAGAACAAAAGUGUAAGUAACUAUGCACGUCUUGACGGUACCUAAACAGAAAGCCACGGCUAACUACGUG
rnacentral:rRNA from 1 species